GUAGGUGAACCUGCGGAAGGAUCAUUAUCACGUAUUAAUCCACGUUAUAAACCCUUUCUUUGAAAAUGUUUUUUACAAAUUUCUAGAGUAAGUGAGUUGGGCAAUGGGUGACGAAACAGACUUCAUAGGUGCGCCCUGGAUGAAAGGAAUGUAUAAUUGUAAUUUGAGCAUUCCGACUGUUUCAUGUAACUAGGUGUGUCUUCGCAAGAAGCAAUCCUAUUAUUGGAGAGUUUAUUUACUUUCCAGUAAC
rnacentral:misc_RNA from 1 species